GACGAACGCUGGCGGCGUGCCUAAUACAUGCAAGUUGAGCGCUGAAGGUUGGUACUUGUACCAACUGGAUGAGCAGCGAACGGGUGAGUAACGCGUGGGGAAUCUGCCUUUGAGCGGGGGACAACAUUUGGAAACGAAUGCUAAUACCGCAUAAAAACUUUAAACACAAGUUUUAAGUUUGAAAGAUGCAAUUGCAUCACUCAAAGAUGAUCCCGCGUUGUAUUAGCUAGUUGGUGAGGUAAAGGCUCACCAAGGCGAUGAUACGUAGCCGGCCUGAGAGGGUGAUCGGCCACAUUGGGACUGAGACACGGCCCAAACUCCUACGGGAGGCAGCAGUAGGGAAUCUUCGGCAAUGGACGAAAGUCUGACCGAGCAACGCCGCGUGAGUGAAGAAGGUUUUCGGAUCGUAAAACUCUGUUGGUAGAGAAGAACGUUGGUGAGAGUGGAAAGCUCAUCAAGUGACGGUAACUACACAGAAAGGGACGGCUAACUACGUG
rnacentral:rRNA from 1 species